CCUACGGGAGGCAGCAGUGAGGAAUAUUGGUCAAUGGGCGAGAGUCUGAACCAGCCAAGUAGCGUGAGGGAUGACUGCCCUAUGGGUUGUAAACUUCUUUUAUAAAGGAAUAAAGCGAGGCACGUGUGCCUUUUUGCAUGUACUUUGUGAAUAAAGAUCGGCUAACUCCGUGCCAGCAGCCGCGGUAAUACGGAGGAACCGAGCGUUAUCCGGAUUUAUUGGGGUUAAAGGGAGCGUAGAGGGGUUGGUAAGUCAGUUGUGAAAGUUUGCGGCUCAACCGUAAAAUUGCAAUUGAUACUGGCAGUCUUGAGUACAGUUGAGGUAGGCGGAAUGCGUGGUGUAGCGGUGAAAUGCUUAGAUAUCACGAAGAACCCCGAUUGCGAAGGCAGCUUACUAACCUGUGACUGACAUUGAUGCUCGAAAGCGUGGGUAUCAAACAGGAUUAGAUACCCGGGUAGUC
rnacentral:rRNA from 1 species